AGCAUUACCUGUUCAGAUACAAACAAUCGUUACAACUUUCAACAAUGGAUCUCUUGGCUCUGGCAUCGAUGAAGAACGCAGCGAAAUGCGAUAAGUAGUGUGAAUUGCAGAAU
rnacentral:rRNA from 1 species